GAAAGGGAUUUUGCUGGGUAUGAUAGUAAAUGAAUGUAUAUGUAAUAACAAACAUGGGGUAGAAAUCUUGAUACAGUAAAGCCUUUAAACUAGAAAAACGAACAGAUCUUGCUUUAUGAUUACAGCUGUUAACAAUACACAUGAAUACACAUCUCUCUCCACAUUAGUAUAAAACUACACCACUAUUAUUAUUAUAAUUAUUAUUACCAUUAUGCCAUUCUAUGAUGUAGACGUUCACUAAUCAUACUAUUGCAGCUUUAACUCUGACUGGCCACGCCCAUCAAUCGUGUAAAGAAAAGAAAAAAACCUGAACGUGAUACUCGUCUCUCCUCAGUCAGAGACGCUGAAAAGUCCGGUUGUGAUCCUUCUCCCUUCAAAAUGGUUCCAGAAUCAAAAACGCUGCUGUUCUUCCCGAUGGUACUCGGGAACACCAUAAAUAUCCAUGUGGAGAUUUUGAGUCGGCUGAGGCAACGUCUACAGCUUCGUGAAGCGUAUGCAGAGAACCACGGUGACGUCAUCAUCGCUUUUGUCCCAGUUGUAUCUCGGGCAGGAACGGACAUUGAAGCUGCUCUUCAGAGGAUCCCGAGAAGUAAGGAGUAAUCUUUUAGUUAAAUGUGGCUAUGUUUAAAAUCACUAAUUACCGUAUUAGAUUAUAUCUGUGGUGGCCUUGGACUACUAGUUGUGAAAGUUACACACUUUCCUGAACUGAAAUAUAUUUCAAUUUUGGUAUCUCAACCAUGAGGAGUAAACUUCUAGCAUUUUAAAGUAAAAUGAGAGACAUUUUCAUUUAAAGAUUUCUUUCCGACUGCUGUGCAGGAGCACGCCGGCAUUUUGCCAGCUGGUACAUGAUUAUAAACUGACUUCAGUGUCUGCUUCACUACAGCACAAAGCUAUUCGACCAUAUUAACCCUGUAAGGAAAUCACACUUAGGUUUUUGGUGAGGCUAGACAGGUUUUAAACUUUCUUUCGGCAGACUGACUGGGUUUACCAGCAAUUCAAAUGUAAAUAAAAACAUUUUCAUGUUUUUUUUUUUUUUUUUGGUAAAAUACAUGUAUGAUUUCUUAUAACUGAGGUGUGGAAAUAUUUUCCCACGCUGAUAUAUAGAGAAGUUGAAUAAAUAGAAUACCAAUAUAGUCUCCUAGUCUUAAUAAGUGAUAUAAUAAUCUAACGUACUAUUAAUUUCUGUAUGAUAGUACAAUGUUCAUCUAUACCAGUUUGCCAUUUUCUCGAAUACCCAAACCCAAUGAGAGAUAGACGCUUAUAACCUAAGGCCAUGUAAUGCUAAAUAAAGGACAUUAGGACCCGGAUAAAACAAGCAGGUUUCUUUAUUUUGUCCGAAUUUCGCGUUGAACUUUCUAGUUUUGAAACAGAUUGUAAUUUGGUGUUUAUACAGCAUACUGCACCUAAACUCAUUGUCUGUAUUGGCUACAUCAAUAUGCUGUCGAAGAUGAGAAUUAGUUUUAUCAUUUAAAAAUAAAAUUGGAAUAGAAAGAGAGAGAAAAACGAAGAAAAUGGCAAAUUGAAAUAGAUAAAUUGAUAAUAGUCACGUUUGGAUAUUGGACCAUUCCUCUUUCUUUCUGACACAAACAAUUCUCCCUCCAUGGUGUUUUCGGAGCAAAUGUGAGUGUUGAUUAUGAACACAACGUUGUCCUGUGAAUCUCGCAUUCUUCCAGCGGGUCAGCCUGUUGUUCUCAUGGUGCUCCACUUCACAUUUGAUGAGAAUUACAUGGCUCCAAACAGCACCUGGAACCUAGACAGGGAUGAUGUAUUUGCUGUGGAUUUGCUCUGUUAUGAAGACAUUGGACUGCUCAGAUCCCAACGCAAUGAUGAGGCAUUGAAAGCUGUCACCGAUCAUCUGAUCUCUAAAGGAGCUUCACCCAAUACCCAGCUACAAACAACCGGAUCACAGACACAGUGUAAUCCACUGGUAUUCAUCUUCUGUUUCAUUUUUGUUAUUUUAAUAGCGAUAGCCAUUGGUGUUGGUUUUUACGUGAAGACAACGGUAAAUCACGAUAAUAAUACUAAUACCACAGGCGGUUGACCAGUAUGAAAUACAUUUGAUUGAUUUCUGUAAAUUAGCUACAGUUAAAUUACUGUAGAAUUUUUUUUUUUUUGGGACGGUUUUAACAAGUAAUGUGCGAACAUUAAACAAUUCUAGUACAACAACAGAAGACUUUCUUGUACAUAACAUCCAUUGUUACAUUUAACGUAUAUUAAAAAUGAAAAGGCAGAACAAAGACACAAGGACCUUAAAGUGUCAGAUAUAUGAUUAUAAAUGUAUAUAUCAGUCUUAUGAAUUAUUUUCUUUUCUUUUUUUCUUUUCCUUUUCUUUUCUUUUUUUUUUUUUUUUUUUACCUUUAAUCAGCAAUAUUUCACAUGCUAGGGCUUAAAUGAAAUGAGUAUUGUGUGACUAUGCAUGUAAGUGACCUGUUAAAUAAAAUGUACAUAGCCUACUACUGUAUGCAUUUCUGUAUGAACAGGCUUUCACAAAAUAUGACUGAGAAUAUAUUACAGAUUUUUCUGUGAAAUAUUCAAUUAAAUAUAUCCACAACAUUAUUUUACAACGUUAUCUAUAUGCUCAUUAUAUGAGAAUUCCUUGGCUCACAAAACAAUAAAGCAAUUAGUAGUAUUAAGGACAGACAGGCAAAUAGUUUACUCAUCUAGUCAUAAAAUUCAUGUAACACUUUUACUUUAUUACCACAGACAUCUGUUUUUCUUUUCUGCCGAUAUAGUUGUGAAAGGAUCUAUCCGAAAAGAGUCGAUUCCCUAAUAGACACUGGGAAUAGUGGUGAGUUGAUGUGUCGUUUACGAAUGAGUGGGCGUUUUAGAUGAACGCUGGGAACCGACUCCUAGGUCUGAAGAGCCGUUUAGAUGAUUCAGUAGCUGAGAAAUAACAGUGGAAAGGCAUUCGAGUGUUUAAUAUUGAGAAUAAAGUCUUGAAGGGCUUAUGUUAAUAUUUCAGUAAGUAAGACGUGAGGAGAAAUUCAGCCGAAUAAAAAAAAACAAUGGAAGAGAUAUAAAGGUGGUCCUACUGAGUCUUGUGAGUCGAUUCAUGUGUAAAAUCGAAAGUGAAACGGAUUCACGAGCACAAACGCUGCAGAUCUGAACACCGUUGUGUCUGACUCCAAGAUGCUGCGAGGUUUGUCAAUCUAUUUUCCUUAUUAAUUAUGAUAGACCUGUGAUAAAUGUAGCACGGUGUUAAAUACGACAAACUGUACAAUAUAUAAGCAUUCAUCUCUUAAUAAUCAACCACUCACAAAUAAUGAUUAUUAUUUCAUCUUGCAGCUGUAACAUAUGCAGAUAUGAUUAUAGGAUAUAGUUAUAGGAUAUAAAUGAUAUUCUCUGUCAUGUGUUCCGUAAUAUUAAUAAAUGACAGGUUUGGUGAAUGCUACACACACACACACACACACACACACACACACACACACACACACACACACACACACACACAAUAAUAAUAAUAAUAAUAAUAAUAAUAAUAAUAAUAAUAACGCCAUGAUUAGUGUGGUUUGGUGUGGUUUAAUAUCGGAUCUAACAUGAAUUUCAUCACGUCAUUUCUUAAGUUGAACAAAUGUUUGCUAGUAACCCGGGUAGCAUCACAUUAAUGUAUACAAGAACAAGAAGACAAGGGUUAAAAUAUAGAAUAAUAUUGUAUUGUAUAGUUUGUAUAGUUGUUGUGUGUACUGAGUUGAUCACUGCUCCAAGUGCACAGUUUAAAUCAAGGGCACAGCUGCUGUGAUAAACAUGUCUUAAAUUUUCCAUGAUGUCAUUUUUAAGGGGAAAAGAGUUUAGAGCUUAAAGGCUUCUGUUAAGAGACAUUCAAUCCCUUAUACCUAACUUAUAUUUAUAUUCACUUUUACAGUCGUUGACAGGGACUUUUAUCCAGAGUGACUUGCCACUGGAGAGCUAUAAAACACAACAAUACCAAAAAAAGGUUUCGUUACAUAUUGAUAUCAUAUAUUCCAAUGAAAAAAGGACAUGGGCCAAGGCGACAAGAGUUCCCCAAGACUGAGGGCAAUUAAAAAUAUUCAUAUUUUUAUUUACAAAAUGGUUUUCAUGAGAGUGAUUUUUUGGGUGUACGUAUUAAAUAAACAGUGCAGUUAUUGUUUGCCUUAUCUUAUAGCAGCAUGUGGGAUGGUGAACUCUGAAAUGGAGGUGAACUUUGAUCAGCUGAUCACCACUUUUGUGUGUGUGUGUGUGUGUGUGUGUGUGUGUGUGUGUGUGUGUGUGUGUGUGUGUGUGUGUGGCUCCUGCUAAAUGCUGUGCAUAACCAAAACUGAAAGUAGUGGGUGAGUCCAUUAGCCGUCUUUAGGGACAGUCUCAAGGAAACAAGGAGCACAAACAACCACAACGAUUCUGAAAGGCUCGUUAUCAGUCUUCCUCCAGAAUGCUUCAAGGAACAAAAACACGCCUUUUCUCAAUCAAUGAAAGUAGGAAAUUCUUGGAUGUCCAAAGUAAGAUUGAGGAACGGUUGAAGAAACGCGUUCAGCUCCAUCAAGUGGAUUCAGAGGAUUAUUGUGAUGUCAUCAUGGCUUUUGUACCCAUUGUGUCCCGGGCUGGAACAGACAUUGAAGCUGCUCUUCGAAAUAUUCCAACAAAUCAGCCUGUCAUCCUCGUGGCGCUCCACCACACGUUUGAUGAAAAUUACAUUGCACCACAGAGCAAAAGGUGUGUGGAUAGGGAUGGUGUAUUUGCUGUAGACUUCCUCUGUCAUGAAGAUAAGGGACUGCUGGAAUGCUUGACCAAUGAGGAGGCACUGAAAUCCGUCAGUGAUUAUCUGGUCUCUAUGGGCCCCAGUACCCCGCUUAUACCAGUUCAUCCACGGCCAUCCCAAAGACGUUGCAUCUAUUUGGGUGUCUCUGCUUUUGUUGUUGUUGUUGUUGUUGUUAUUGGGCUAGUUAUUCCCUUUCUCAUUCCGAAAAGUGACGGACAUGGUGACACUCAAACUACGGUGAUACCUCCUAUAACUGUAACUACACAUCAGUCUAACAUAACUGUAACUACACAUCAGCGUAACAUAACUGAAACUACACAGCAGUCUAAGAUAACUGUAGCUACACAGCAGCGUAAGAAACGAUCCCUUCAGAGAGGCCGAGGCUAAUUCAUUAGUUUGGUGAACACCCAAGACUGUUGUGUUCGUGAUGAAAAGAUGGAGAUGAAACGAGAGUUUAGGAUUUCAGCUUUUAUUUCCUGGUGUUUACAUCUAGACGUGUUAAACAUAAAACAUACAACCUUUUGUAUCAGACCACCCACUUUUUAGGUGAGCAAAAGUAUAGGAACAGAUCAGUCUUGAAGUAAAUGAAAGUAAAUAACACUUAACAUUUGGCUGCGUGUCCCUUGCUUGCAAAAACUCAUCAAACUGCAUCAAUCCUGUGACUCACUGACACUUGUGUUGCUUUUCCAGGUAUUUACUGCAGCUUCUUUCAGUAGUUGUGUGUUUCGGUGGUUUCUCCCUUCAGUCUCCUCUUCAGGAGGUGAGGUGCUGAUCAGUUGGGUGAAGGUCUGGUGAUGGACUUGUCCAGUCUAAAACCUUCCACUUUCCCCCUGAUGAAGUCCUGUGUUGAGGUGGAAGUGUGUUUUGGAUCGUUGUCUUGCUGCAUGAUGAAGUUCCUCUGAUUCAUUCGGAUGGAUUUCUCUGUAAAUCUGCAGACAGAAUGUUCCUGUACAGUUCUGAAUUCAUUCUGCUGCUCCAUCAUGAGUUCAUCAAUAAAGAUUAGUGAGAAUGUUCCAAAAGCAGCCGUGCAAGCCCAAGCCAUGACACUACCUCCACCAUGUUCCACAGAUCAGCUUGUAUGUUCUGGAUCAUGAGCAGAUCCUUUCUUUCUCCACACUUUGGUCUUUCCAUCACUUUGGUAGAGGUUCGUCUUGUUCCAGAACUUUUGUGGAUCAUCUCUGUAUUUCUUUGCCAAUUCCAAUUUGACUUUCUGACUCGUACUGCUGAUGACUGGUUUGCAUCUUGUGGUACGGCCUCGAUAUUUCUGCUCUCGAAGACUUCUUCAAACGGUGGCUUGUGAUGCCUUCAAUUCUGCCCUGUGGAGCUUGUUGGUGAUGUCACUGACAGUUGUUGUUGGGUUUUUCUUCACAGCUCUCUGUCAUCACCUGCUGUUGUUUUCCUUGACUGACCCGUUCAGUGUCUGUUUCUCAGUACACCAGCGGUUUCUUUCAUUUUCAUGACAUUCCAAAUUGUUGUAUUGGCUUUACCCAGUGUUUCUGCAAAGGCUUUGAUUGAUUUUCCCUCUUUCCCCGCUUUAAAAUGGCUCGCUUUUCUCCCCUAGACAGCUCUCCGAUCUUCAUGUUGGCUUAUCCUUUAUAACAACAUAUGCAGUCUUCACAGGUGAAACUGAAGAGUAGAUGUUCAGAGCUAUUUAUUGUUUAAACAGUCGAUCUAACAGGACACGCCUGGGGAACAAGAAACACCCGUCAGUCACGUGUUCCAAUGUUUUUGCUCCCUUACAAAUUGGGUGGUCUGAUACAAACUGUGCUGUUCUGUAUCUAUAUAUAAAUACCAGGAAAUAAAAGCUGAAAUUCUAAACUCUCUUCUCAUAUUGCUCUUUUAAUAUCAAAAACAAAUGUCUUCACUCAACAGUGAAAACAAUUUAAUUGGCCUUGCCGUCCCAAUAUUUUUGCAGGGGGACUGUAACUGUGACUAUAUAGCAGCUUAAUAUAAUGGUAAUAAACAUUAACUUAACAUACUGGCGAAUAAACAGCAGCCUAAUAUAACUCUAAUUAUACAGCAGCCUGACAUAGUGGCAACGAAAUAGCAACGUAAUCUAACUAUAACUGCACAACAAACAUAAAAUAAACACUAAUCUUUCUUCUAAAUACUUUUUAAAAUUUCAUCAAUUCUUUUGAAUCAGCUUCAUUUUCAUUACAGUUAGAACUUUUCCUUUCAAACCUUAUGAGUAUUUUGACAUCAAUCAUUCUGCAAUCAUCCUAACAUAUACUUUAUAUACAUAUAAAGGAUUCUUUGAUUAAUAAAGGUUUCAUGUAGAACCUUACAACAGAGAUUUUCUGUUUCUGAGAGGGUUCUAGGUUGAACCACUGUUAGGGUGUAGUAAAUGAAGAAUUGCUUACACAAAACUAGUAUGACUUGAUAUUACCUUGUAAUUGUUCAUAAGUUUAAGAUUACCUCCACUAUAUUUAAUGUUACUCCACUAUAUUUUGUAGUUUCUAUAUUUAAUGCUUAUUAAAUGCACAGAACAUUAAAAUCGGAAACGAAGUCUGACAAGAAUGUAACAGAAUAUAACAAGACUGAAUCUGUGUGUAAAGACUUCAUGAAUGUUUGUUUCUAAUCAAUAAAAUUCUCAUACGCUUAUGCUAAAUGGUAAUGUGAUGUUUGUGAAAACUAAACUAAUACCACAAGACAAAAAACAAAAAAUCGCCACUUGAGUGCUUACAAUUUCCUCGGGGAUGGUGUUCUAGCAUUCAAUAUGGUCUCUACAACCUCACUUGCAAGACCAGAAUCUAUGAGCUGGUGCCCCUCAGGGGCCAGACCCACG
ensembl:lncRNA